UACGUAGGGGGCAAGCGUUGUCCGGAAUCAUUGGGCGUAAAGCGCGUGUAGGCGGCCAGAAAAGUCCGCUGUGAAAACUCGAGGCUCAACUUCGAGCUGUCGGUGGAAACUUUCUGGCUAGAGUCCGGAAGAGGAGAAUGGAAUUCCUGGUGUAGCGGUGAAAUGCGCAGAUAUCAGGAAGAACACCGGUGGCGAAGGCGGUUCUCUGGGCAUUACCUGACGCUGAGGAGCGAAAGUGUGGGGAGCGAACAGG
rnacentral:rRNA from 1 species